rnacentral:rRNA from 1 species
UAGCGGAACUCCUACGGGAGGCAGCAGUGGGGAAUCUUGCGCAAUGGGCGAAAGCCUGACGCAGCGACGCCGCGUGGGGGAAGAAGGCCUUCGGGUUGUAAACCUCUUUCAGGAGGGACGAAGCCACUCGGGUUAAUAGCCCAGAGGGUGACGGUACCUCCAGAAGAAGCCCCGGCUAACUACGUGCCAGCAGCCGCGGUAAUACGUAGGGGGCGAGCGUUGUCCGGAUUUAUUGGGCGUAAAGAGCGUGUAGGCGGCCAGGUAGGUCGGUUGUGAAAACUGGAGGCUUAACCUUCAGACGUCGACCGAAACCAUCUGGCUAGAGUCCGGAAGAGGAGAGUGGAAUUCCUGGUGUAGCGGUGAAAUGCGCAGAUAUCAGGAAGAACACCCGUGGCGAAGGCGGCUCUCUGGGACGGUACUGACGCUGAGACGCGAAAGCGUGGGGAGCGAACAGGAUUAGAAACCCUGGUAGUCCACUUAUG